rnacentral:tRNA from 1 species
CAAGACCUGCGAAUUACUAUAACGCAUCAACUGAAUGCAACCCAGACACUUUAAUUAAGCUAAGGCCUC